rnacentral:misc_RNA from 1 species
ACCGACGAGGGCGACUAUCAGGUCAAGAUGAAGAACCUGACACGCUUCCUCGAGAACGGUGACAAGGGCAAGGUCACGCUGCGUUUCCGCGGCCGCGAGAUGGCGCACCAGGACAUCGGCCGCAAGCUGAUGGAGCGGAUCGCCGCCGAUCUCGAGGACCUCGGGACCGUGGAGUCCUUCCCCAAGAUGGAAGGGCGGCAGAUGAUCAUGAUCAUCGCCCCCAAGAAGAAGCAGUAACCGGUACCGCCCGGCAAGCGGUACCCCGAAAAAGUGAUCCGAUGGCCGGUUCAA